UAGUUUAGCACCAUCCCCCCUUAGUACUGGAUAGUGAUAGAGUUCUCACGAGAUCUGGUUGUUUAAAAGUGUAUAGCGCCUCUUCCCUCUGUCUCUUGUUGCUCUAGCCAUGUGACCUGCCUGCUUCCCCUUUGCCUUCUACCAUGACUGAUAAUUUCCUGAGGCAUCCCCAGAAGAAGCCUGCACAAAGAAGGCAGUGCUCUUCCAUGGGUCACUCCUGAUCUACUUCUCCUGGACUCACCCCAUCUUCUGACCCACACCCACUGCUCUCAUGUUGGCUCAGAGGUGGAAAAUAGACCUCAAAACCUUAACAAGUAAAAUCUUCAGAAAACCAGACUACACGCUCCAACAUUGUGAAUAAAAUGAAAAGGUGUUAGUGAGAGCUGUGCUACAGAUGCAGUCAGACCAAGACGGUGCCAGCCAGGAGCAAAAGUGAAUAUGAAGAGGAAGAGAAAUUGUGAAAUACCUACACACAUAGAGAAGGAUUUCCCCUCAGUUUAUUUCUUUACUCAAUAAUAAUGUACUAUCAGCCCCCAUACAUUAGAGGGAGAAGAAAGAAAUUCAGCAGACAAAGAGAAAGAAAAUGAAGAGUGGUGAAGUGUUGGUAAGUGACAAAUAGGGUAGGAAAACUUUCAGAAAAUGCUUUCUACUCACUCAGAAAUGGUGGAAUAAAAUGAAGCCCUCAAAAAAUGCCUGGAAUAAUGAUUCUUAAUUUUUUGAUGAAUGUUAAAGUUUUGGAUGGGGAAAAUUUCCUCCCUAACAUAAGUGACUGUAGGCAGAAAAGUACAUAAAAUACAGAGGCACUCCAUUGAGUGAAUGUGUUGCACCCAAGACAGCUUCCAGGGUAAUUGGAGCAACAUUCAAAUAUGGUUUUAUGGUGUCCUGCCAUCAACUUCUUUAGCUUAUAGUUCACUCUGGCUGAGUCUUCAUGGGGUCCCUUAGAGGGGUAGCUCAAGUUCCUGGUUGGGCCUAUGGUCUCUAGGGUCUAAAGGGGACCAAGGCACACUGAUUUCUUUUGGAAAUCUAUCACACCUUCUCACUUAUUCUCAGAUAUGGAACCUAGAUUUGUUCUCUGUCAUACUGAUAAAAGACAUAAUGAGAUAAACAGAGAUUUUAUGAGAACUUUUAUAAGCAAACUUGGGAAACAUUCAGCAUACAGAGAAUGAAUUUCCAGAAAUAUCGUCUAUGUGUUUUUAUGAUGAUGAUGAAUAUUGCUGAAGAGGAGUAAAUGUAUUGGUUUGUUUUAGUUUGGAGGCCAUGGAAUACUCAGAGGUAAUCUAUGGAGAUAGUUAUUCGGUUGGAAGUAAGGCUUUUGAGAGAAGAGUACUUGUAUGCAGUGAGAAGAGGAGAAGACUAAAAGCCAAUUUAGUAAUAUUCCUGUAAAUGAUGGGUGAUCACUAUGAAGAUGUGUUUGUUUCUGUUUCAAAUCAAUUGAAGUAGUCAUCUGCUUUAAGUCAAAGUAAAGGUUAGAGCACAGUUCUAGGCAUCAGCUGAGAAAGAAAUAUAUCAGAGUAAGUUCCCUCCCUGCCCUUUUGUCUUUACUGCUGAAUCUUAACUUUGUAGAAUAAAAAUUUGUGCCAAAAUGAAAACACAGAUAAGCACUUGGGAAUAAUUAGAGGGAAAUGAGACACAAAAUGCAGAUAAUUCAGGGAAAAGUUUCUGUAGAGGAAAGGACACUGAGAUAGGGAUGGCCACCUGUGCAUAGUCUUCUUUUCUUUCUGAGAACACAGCCACAACCAUGCUUCCCAGCCUCCCUUGCAGCUACAUUCACCACAGGACAGAGUCUAAGCAAUGGCACCCAAGUGGAAGUAACAGAAAUCACUUCCAGACAUGUUCCUUGAAAAUCUUCCACACACUGGUCUAAGCCCUUCUGGGUGACUAGAAUGAAAAAGAACUUGUGUUGAAGGUGAAAGAGCCCCAGUCAGCCUGGUUAGUGAGCCACCAUGUGUUUCUUCAGAUGGAGGAAAAUCACCACCAUCAAUGAGAAACAUCUGCCUUGACUGUUAUUUGAGCAAGAAAUAAUUUAUUGUUUCAGUCACUCUGCGGUUCAAGUUCCAUUUGUGUCAGCAGCUGUACACCUAAGAGUCACUAAAAACAGUUUUAUGUUAAUUGUUGGAAGAGGACCUGUACAUGAGAACAUGUAUAUAAUAUUUAAUUGCAUUUUGUAAAUUAAAGAAACCAAAUAAACUGCUAAAAACUCCUUCUUUGGAGAUCUCUAACAUGUCUUUCCUGUGUCUGUACUUGUUGAAAGGGGACCUCUUAAAAGAGGACAGAAAUGGGUGCACACACUGUUCCAGGUUCCCAUAGCACUACAAUUUCAUGAUCCCAUGACAGUUUGGGCCAUAGCAUGAGCUGUUUUGAUUUCUAAAAGGGAGCUGGAAGAUUUAUGUCUUUCCUGUUGGGGAAAUUCUCCUGAUUUAUGACCACCAUGUUUGUAGGUACUAAAUCAUACUGAAGUAUACUAAAUAUUUUGUUUUUUAAUUUUGGUUGAGCAGCGUGCUGGUCAUCCAAGUUAAUGACUGUUCAUGGGUGGUGUGAAUUCUGAGAGGCACUUGUGGUGGGCGUACGUUAUUUGAAUGGUAGAGGCAGAUUGAUAGUUGCUGUGUCCCAUGUGAGAGCCAGGCAGUCCAGCAACUGCCAGUGCACUCACUCUAUGACCAUAAACUUGAAUUGUUAUGAUUGUUGGUAACAGUUGUACUUUAAGCCAUGAAGAAGAGUUAUUUUAAAAUGAUGAUCCAUGUUGUUCCCUAAUCACUAUUUUUAAAGGCCUUAAUGCUUCUACAGUAUCAUUGUUAGAGCUAACUCAUGUCCAUGUAACUUAUGGAAAUGUUUCCAGACCACAUUAAUAUUUAUCUACAUAACCAUCAGAGUAAAUUCAUUUAUUAUUUGAACAUCUUUGCUGUCAGCUAGUUAAAGCUAAUUGUUUACUUUUCUUUUUGAAAAAUAUCAUUCCAUGGUUACCACCGUGUUGUUUUCACAUGGGUAAAACAUCCUUUGAAGUCAAUCAUUUAUCAAUCAAAAUAUUUUUUACCAAUUUAGCAGAUUUUGCUUUACUCUCAGAAUACUGUUAGGUACCAGAAGUGUGGGGAAGAAAGGAGGUGUAUAUUACACGGUUUCUACAGUCUUAAGAGAGACAUACUUUAAUAUGAUAAGAAAUAUUGAACAUGAUAAGAAACAUUCACAAACAGGGCAGUAUUUCAUAUUUGAUUUGCUCAAGAGGUCUUGGCAUUGAAUCAUGUUCCUGAGAUUUUGUAGCUGUAUAAUACUGAACAAGUCAUUUGACUCACAUGGGCUCAGGUUCCCCAAUUCUUCAAAACAAUUAUGAUGCUACAAACCUCCCAAGACUGCUGUCAGAUUAAGGAGCAGAUCACCUAGUAUGGUCAUAACAUCAGUUCUGGGAGAACUAGAAAGUGGUCCCCAGUUAUCAGUCAGUUGAGCCAGCAUUGGAUGAGGAGUCCCCACAGACAAGGAAACGCUUAGAGAACAACAGGUUAUCAAGGAGGAAUUACAAAAUACAAAGCCAUCAGGACUCUGAAUUCACAAGUGUAGGUGAUGGCCAAAUAGGUCUAAGUAAUAAGAUCAUGAAACCAGAAGUGUGGUGAUUUGAACAUGGUUCCAUAGUAUCUUUUUCUGUGUUUCUUGGUGGUCUCCUAUAUAUCAGCUGUGGCCCUAGAACAAGAGAGGUGUUCAACUCAUAUCUGGCUUAGGAGGACACUAGAAAACCUACCACUGAUUGCUCAUUUCUCUGAAUUGAGUAAUAUUUUUUGAAUCAAUAGGUUUAAUAAUGUACUUAUCACCUGAUUUAUUUAUUUAUUGUAUAUUGUCUUACUAGGUUUCAAGUUCCAUGAGAAUAGGAGCUUUUUGGUUUUCACUGAUAAAUCCCUAGUGUUAAGAACUGUAACAGUAUAGGUGUUUGAUAUUACUUUGCAUAAAUGAAUAAAUUAAAUAAAUAGUUGAGUAUCCACUAUGGGCAAACCAUAGUGUUUAGCCCUGAGUCACCUACAAAGAUGAUUAAGCCAAGGUCCCCGUCAAGAGAUGGGCUCUGUUCAGUCUAAGCCAAUUAUCCAAUGUUUCUGCUUGCAAUUGAUUGAGAGGUGGUCUGAAUUAAGAUAACUUUGGCCGGUAAGUUAGUCUUCCAGUAGCAUUUGAGAAAGAAAAUUCUGCACGCUUAAAAGAAAUCCAAGAGAAAUCUCUGUGCAUCUCUCUCUCUCUCCUUUUCUUCAUCUUAGCCUUUGGUGGCAGUGAUCAUCUUAAGACCACAAGACAAAACCAACACAGGGAGGAAGGUGGGAACUGAGAAAAUAGAGGAGAAUUGGAGGAAGAAGGCAUUUCACCUGAUACCCAACCCAAUUCUGGACUUUCAAUUAUGUGAGCCCUUGAAAAUCCUUAUUUAAGCUAUGGGGAGUUGGUUUGUGCUACUUCAGCCAAAGCAUCAUACUUAUUAAAAUUCCUUCUAGAGAGUUGAAUAAAAAGCAUAUGUGGUCAUAAAGUACAAAGUAGUCUUUCAAAAGAUUCUAUACCCAGAGGCAUUAUUCAAUGCUUCCCCAGAUAGAGGAAGAUGGAACAAAAUCCAGAUUGGCUAAAUUAAGAAUACAACCCAAAUCUUUCUACUUUUGCCAAGAAGCUAAGGAAAAAAAAUCAUACAGAAAACCUGUUAUAUGGAACAUCUUAUACCCUUUGAGACUCUAAGUAACUGAUGUGCAUGUAGUAGUAGUACUAAUAUUUUGUAUGCACCCAAUUAUCAAGUUGGUCUUUAAAAGGUGCUAUGAUGGUUAGUGAAAUAGCUGACCUGGGCAUCCAACAGCAUAGCCUUCAUUUUCUUGCCUUGUUGGCCUUUCCAUGGCUCUUCUAUGUAUGGGUAGAAAAGGGCACAAGAAGAAGAUGAGCUUCAAAUGGAUCACUUCUAGUGCUAGAUAUUAUCAUGAGUAAAGCGUUCAUGAGGGAGGAAUUUAAAACUCCUGGUUAAUGGAGAGUAUCUAAAAUUUAAAUAAUAUAUAUGCCACUACCACUCCCACUCUCACCCCAGUGCUCUCUAGACACCUUCUCUGCUUAUGUUCUUACUAGUAUUUAUUUUCUUAAUAUACAUGCUUUAGUUAUGUCAUUGUUAUUUUCUAUAUUCCUCUACUAAAUUGUAAGCUCCAUGAGGACACGGAUUGUUUCUGUCUGGUUUACUACUAACCUCUACCACCUAGAAGAGUGUCUGAUACAUAGAACUAUAUAACAUUUAUGUUAAAGAUAAGUAAAUUAUUUUUUUAUUUGCACAAUUACAAGACAUUUUAAAAACUCAGUUUUAAAUCAAAAAUCAAAGCUUGAAAAAGCAUAUUUUAUGGUAUCUCCUUUUAGUUAGUAAAUAAUUUUUAAGCAUAAAUUUACUUAUUUUAAAAUGUGAAUCCACUCUGAAAACAUUUAACUAGGGAAAGACUAUAUUAAGGAACAUGUAGAUUCACUCAAUCUGGGAGUGAGAAGAGAAUGUGGAGAUGUUUUUAAGCCACAGACUUACCUUAAACACCGUGAAAUUAUAAAGAUGUAUUAUUUUUAGAUGCACUUUUAAGUAUAGAUGAAGCAUUCUAUAUUAAAUCUAGGAUCACAUAUCAGUAAGUUUUGAAAGUGCUGCAUUCAAAAAAUGCUCAGUGCUUUCAAAUUUUUUCCUGGAAGAAAUAUGAGACAAAAGUAUUCCAACUUCUAGGUUAAUGCACAAUGGACUGAAAGCAUGCGCUCAUGUUUGUUCUUCUUCUUUGGGUGGUUACUUCUUUGCCUGCAAAAGUUGCAUUCCCUUCCCUAAGCUGCAGCCACUUCCUUGGUUCCUUACCCCUCUUAUUUCCAGUUAUGUGAGAAGAUGUUGUGGUCCAGUGAUCUGCAGAAUGCUAACAAGUGUUGAACAAGUGUGGAAUCCAUAUGAUUCCUUCAGUCCAUUAGUUCUCCUAGAAUGAAGUAUCCAGUUUCUUUCAAUAAAUACCAUUGGCUCCUUGUUCAAGGAGGUGCUCAUGAGUAAAACUCUCUACUGCAUGGCUCACAAUCAAAGGGAGUUUGUUAAAUAGGUCAUCAAAAGGCUUUCCCAGCUAGAUGGCUGGAGUGCCAUACUUACUCAGCAGAAGCUCGUAGUCAACCAUGGUGUUUAUUCACUGAAAGUCAGGCUUUUGUAUUAUGAAACUUCUAGCAAAUUUGAUAAGCAGUAAAUUGCAGAUAUAUCACUUCAUCCCCCCAGAAAGUGUGUGUGUAUGAAAUCAGCAGAAUACUGCCUCUCUGUGAUUUAUGGCCCACUUUUGACCACCUCUUAUCAGGUUCCCACAAGCCCUUUUCUGAUGCAGCUUGUGUCUGAAUGACAAUAGACAAACCAGUGCCAUUAUACACCAAAAUCUCUCUCUGCAUUUUAGACACCAAGAUUACAUCUGGGGUAUUGAUUUAUUGCUGCCUUUCCCCCCAACAGGGACCAGUUUGUUCAGCCUGAACAAGAUUGACUAUUAUUAAACGGAGCCAACAACUCUAUGUGAACUUGGUAAUAAAAUAAUCAUUUACUCCCACCUUUCUAACAAACUGGGCAUAUAAGGAAAUGCAUGCGUUUAAAUAUUUAGGCUGUUUAUUUGUCUCUGCUUGUCUCUUUUUUAAGUAUGCAAAGUAAGAUAAAACAGGCCUUUGGAGGUAGGGAAUCUUUGCAGUGUCUUGGAUGUUGAAACACAAUGUGCUUCUUUUUAUGAACCACACUGAAAUGAUUACAAAUCUCUGCUUUGGUGUGUAUUUCUGAAACACAUACUGUAUCUGUAGUAAUGAGGUUUUAUGACAGCUUUAACAGUUUCUGCAAAAUUUAUAUGUUCUACCAGUACAUCAUUUUGGGGAGCGAUAUAAAUUUUACAGCACAUCAGAGUUUUAUAUCACCUACAAACGCCUGAUGUAGGAUUCACAUUAAGUAGGCCCCACAUCCACCCACAGUUUUCUAUUCUUUAGGGUAUUUAUGUUUGCCAGGCAAAAGAGACUUCAACACUUUUCUCUUUACAAAUGAUCAUUCCUCCUCCCUCGUUACCUUUCAGUUUAACAUCAUUCGGUCUAUUUCUUUAUGGGAGAUUCACCCACGCUCUCAUUGAUUUACAUAGCAGACAAUCUCUGCACUAUUUCUGCUUUCUAGCUCCCACGUAUGGGGAGGGUGGUGUUUCUGGGGCCACCAAAGACUUGAGUGAGGUAAAUGAAAAUCAAAGAAGGGAAUCUUUAUGCCUCUUACUUUCUGAACUCCCAGUUGGCUUUUGUGUUCUGACAAGCGGCCGUGGAACACAAUACUUAAAAUCAUAACUGCCUUAAGAAAUCCGAGCAUGUUAUUGCAAAGUCUGUGGGAAAAUUCUGGGACGAUGAUUCCAAAGAUUAGAUUCACUGAGAUUAGGAAAAGGACAAGCUAAUUCAGAAUCAAAGUUGUAGCUGAACCUUUGUUGAAGAUCUUAGCAGUAAGCCACCUUAUGAAAAAUGUCUGCCACACCAGUUCCCUGGCUCAGUAAUCUCUGUCUUUAACAUUUCCCAAUCCUAUCAUGCCUGAAUUUUGGCAGUUUCGCAUCUCAUAAUGAAUGGGGAAGAAAGGGUGGGUUGGAAGGAAUAGUGGGCUUAUAUAGUUUGUCUGUUUUACUGAAAAGCCAUUCUUAUUGCCUACUCCCACCCCUCACCUCACUCUCUCAAAAACAUUCUGCUCAAUCUACUUGGUUUGAGUAGGACUGGGCUUGAAACCUCAACCUAUAGCAGCAGAUAUGUGGCUCAAGUCUAGCCAAUUGAUUUUCCUUGUGCCCAUGGAAUCAUCAUCUUUGCCAAUCACAUGGUUCAGGGCUGCCAGUGGCCAUCUGGAGGCCACAUAGGAAAAACCUGUCUGAGACUGAAACCUAAAAGAGCCCAGAGAUGGAUAAAAAGUGCUAAGACCUCCACUGAACCUCUGAAUGCAGCAUGCCUAAAGCCUACUCCACUUUUUAGACUAUUUAUUUAGGACAUCCCAAUAAAUGUUCCCUCUUGACUUAAGCCAAUGAAUAUGAGGAGCAGGGUAGAUGCCAACAUCUGAGGAGUGAAUUCCCAUAAAGCAAAUUAUACUUUGGACACCUCAGGCAUAUGCUUUUCACACAACAUACAAGGUCAUUUGUCUCUUUAUAACCUGUGCUAUGGCCAUUCAUAAGUUAUGACAUUGUGAAACAAGAAGUAAAAAAGCAUAGGAUUCUACUAAAAUAAAAUGUUGCUCCAUCCUGAUGGCAAUAUCUGUUUUAGCCAGCCCAGGAGACCACCAGCCUGGACCAAGAUAAGACCAGAGGCAUCUAGAUUUAACCUCCAAGCAAUAGGGAGCCAAGAUAAGUAUUUGAGCAAAAGAGUCGCAAUUGCAGAUUUGCUUUCUAAGAAGCUAAGACUGCAAAUCUGUAAAAGAGGGUUGACAAUAGAAAGAGAUUUGUGCAAGGGACAGCUCUCAAACCAAGUAGAGAGAUGAUGCUGGCCUUAGCUGAGGCAGUGGCAAGAAAAGGGGACGAGAGAACUAGUCUUGAGAAAGUUUCAGAACUCAGUAAUUGAACAAGUAGAUAUGGGAAUGGAGGUAUCAGAAUUUCUAGUAAAAAGACAGAAAGGCAGUGAUGAUGUUAAUCAUCCCAAGAGAGAGGAGAAGCACAUAUUGGGCAGGUGGAAGGAGGAAGGGAUGGUAGUUUUCUAAGGCAACUCACCUCUGAUGAUAGGUUUACUGUCUUUAGGAGAACCAGGUGAAGAUGUCCAGUGAUCAGUUUGCAAUAUGGAUAUGGAAGUGUAGAGAGAUAUUAUGGCUGAAGACAUUAAUGGUAGGUGACAUCAGCAUGGCCUGGCAGUCCAGUCAUGGGGAUGAAUUCAUUCACUCACAGAAAACAUGCAUGGGGAGCCAUGGAGGGAAAAAGGACAGACACCCAGGAGCCACUGACAUUUAAGGGGUGGAUUCUAUCUGAGGAUACAAUGAAGGAGACCAAGCAGGAGCAAUCAGAGGCCAGGCAAGAGAACCAGGAGAAAGUAGGUCCUCAGGGCUUAAAAUGGAGAGCAUAUUCACAAAGAGGAGAGUAGUCUACAAUCAUCAAAUUUACAAAUGUGACAAUAUCACUGAGUUUCUCAAUUUACUUACAAAUGAGUAAGUUACAAACAACCUCAAAAACACAUCUGUUGGAGGGGCCAUAUGGGAAACGGCAUUACUAUAGAACUGGAUUUUUGGAGGAAAAACGUCCUUGCCCAGUGACAGCAACACAGCUGAAGAUGUAUUCAACAUCAUCCAGCAAAUGAUAUCAUGCCCUUCCCACUUUAGAAUGUUCUUUUUCCUUCCCAUCCAAAUGUGAUCAACCCUUACGGAUCAUGCUCUGCUUCUCACCACUCAACCCCUAUUCUUCUCAUGCCCACACACACAUCCUCUCUGUGCCACGACCCCCACCUGUACAUUACUGUGGACACUUGUUACAUGCCACACACUCUUCCAUGCACUUUGCAUAUAUACCAGUUUAUUUAAUCUUCCCUAAGACUCUGUGAUGGAGGCACUAUUAUUACUUUCAUUUUGUACCUGAAGUCACUGAGAUGCUGAGACGUUAAGCAACUUUUCCAAGUUCCCACAACGUGGAAUGUCAGAACCAGGGUUUGGCUCUUAUUAUACAUUGAUCUGUUUUUGUGUGUGCACACGUUUGUGUUACGUUGUGUUACAUGGGAACUUUCAGUAUAGCUUGCAAACCCUUUGAAGAUAUUGCCACGAUCUUAUACUUUAAAAUCUUCUUUGCCUUCAGUAAUAAUAGCUAAUGUUUAUUAAGUACUUUCUAGGUUCACAAACUUAUGCUAAGUACAUGCAUUCCAUUUAUUCUAGUCAACCCCAAUGAUGUGGAUAGGGUUAUUUUUAUUUCUCUUUUACAAAUGGGGAAUUUGAAGUUUGGAGAGACGAAGUAACUUACUCAAGGUCACCAGUUAGUUGGUGGUACACCUUGGAUUUAGACUCACAUCAAUGCUAACCUCUACACCAUAUUCCCUCACAGACAGUUGCUUAUAUACAGUAGCCUCAAUAAAUGAAGAACUUACUGAUUGACUGUAAUCAUAUAUGUGACUACAGGGGUGCAAACUCCCUCCUUGAAUGCAGAAUUCAUCCUGCUUGCUGGCCUGUCCCAGUUCCCUUCUACUUUCCAUCUAGUGGAAAACUUCUGAGUAUGGCUAUCAUCACAUUUUAGAUUCAAAGCUACAGUGGAAGCUCAAUUAUCCAAACAAAUCAGGGCUCAAAGGUACUCAGGCAUGCAGUGGGUUUGACUAAUAUAGUUUGAAGAUUUAAAAAAAGAGACAGAACAAUGAAAGAAAUGUUCAAUUUCAGCAUGUCAAGGCAUAAAAGAUAAAGGAACUUGGCUUUAGGGAGUCAUUUGAAUAAUGGGACAGUUCAAAUAAAGGAUGUUCAGAUUACUGACUUUGCACUGUACUUAAUCUACCAUAGAGAGAGCUGCACUCUAGAGCAUUUGCAUUGGCAGUAGGCACCCACUCUCAACAUUCAGCUCAACCAUACUCCCUUCUCCAAUUUCCUUAUCUCAUCUCCAUACCAUAGAUCAUCUCAAAUGCUUUUUGUCACUUUGCAGAUGAGGAAAUCCUUUAAGUUAUGCUUUUUGUGGAAUGCUGUUAUACAGUAGCCAAAAAUAAAAUCCAUUCCACCUGAUCUCCUUUUCCAGGUUGAGACCACAUUGUUACUUUCUUUCAAUAGAAGCCCUAGGAAUAGUCACAGCAAGAAUAGUAGUAGGUGGUUUGCCAAAGUGCUGUCUCAAUACCUCAGUCUCCCAUUGGACAAUUUGCCUGAAGCACUGUCCAGAUGGUUGACCUGACCCAGGUCUAUCAUGGUGUGGUGAAAGAGAGUGAGGAAGGAGGUGCCUUGGCUUUCCCAUUGUGGAAGGCAGAGGUUCUAUUCAUUCAUGCUAUAUAUUGCUCCACUUUUGAGGCAUGGAAUGCACCAUACUUAGGGUAACAGAAGAAAAAAGUUAAUCAAGGGGGAAUUUGACCAGCCCUCAGUUGGAGGAUUAUUUGGACUAUGUAGGAGAGAUGCUUUUAGCAUAAAAUCACUUGUUAGUGAGAAAUGUCUGGUUGUCUAGUGAAUAUUCCAACUUCAGGAUUUGAAUAGUUUAUCUCCUAACAUCCAAAUGAAAUGGAAUGGCUGAAACCUAGGAAAUUAAAAAAAGACCCUAGAAAAGAAAAAAAGGACAAAGUCUCAAAGAUGAGCCAAAGAGUCUGGGGAUGGCAGGUAGGUGGGGAAAGUCCAAACAAAUGAGGAUUAUUCUCUAUUCAUCUCAGUAAUUGUGGCUACAUGGAGGUUCCUGGAAACUUAGGUCAUAGAAUUCACCCACAAACACUGAGGAACGAGAGGAGUCAUUUUUAUGUCUCCACCUCCACCCUGCUUUUUGCAGAUUCUAUGGCUGAAAAGACAUGACAGGAAUUUGAACUAAGAGUCUAUUUUAUAAAACUUUGGAGACUCCAUAGGCAUGCCACAAUAGCAAUGAUAGGAAUGUUUAGUAACAUAACCAGUAUUUGAUACAAUGACAAAUUUCAGCCCAACUUUCCUUUAUCAAUAUUUCAUACAGGCUUACCUAGAGCAGUGCCAUUCCACACCUACUUCUGUACAGACAAACAUGCUCAAUACCUCCACUCCCAGCCCAACUCCCCACCUGAGCUCUACAUACAAUAACACAGGUUUCUGGAGUUAGAUAUUACACUGCUAACAACUAUUUUUAAAAUGAGAAUGAGCAUUGGCAUUUUGUACAAGACUACCUUCAUAGUCUGAGCUGUGUUCCUUGGCUAUUCUUUUUUUUAACUUUUAUUUUAGGUUUGAGGGUAAAUUUGAAGGUUUGUUACAUAGGUAAACACAUGUCACAGUGGUUUGUUGUAUAUAUUAUUUAAUCAUCCAGGUAUUACACCCAGUGUCCAAUAGUUAUCUUUUCUGCUUCUCUCCCUCCUCCCACCCUCCCUCAUCAUUAGACCCCAGUGUCUGUUUUCCCUUCGUGUUCAUAAAUUAUUACCAUUUAGCUCCCACUUACAAGUAAAAACAUGCAGUAUUUGAUUUUCUGUUCCUGUGUUAGUUUGCUAAGGAUAAUAGCCUUUAGCUCCUUCCAUGUUCCUGCAAAAGAUAUGAUCUUGGUUUUUUUAUGGCUGCAUAGUAUUCCAUGGUGUAUAUGUACCACAUUUUCUUUAUCCAAUCUGUCAUUGAUGGGCAUUUAGGUUGAUUCUAUGUCUUUCCUGUUGUGAAUAGUGCUGCAUGUGCAUGUGUCAUUAUGGUAGAAUAAUUUGUAUUCAGGUGGGUAUAUACCCAGUAAUGAGAUUGCUGGGUCAAAUGGUACUUCUGCUUUUAGCUCUUUGAGGAAUCACUAUACUGCUUUCCACGAUGACUGAACUAAUUUACACUUCCACCAACAAUGUAUAAGUGUUCACUUUUCUCUGCAACCUCACCAGCAUCUGUUAUUUUUUACUUUAAUAAUAACCAUCUGACUGCUGUGUGAUGAUACCUCAUUGUGGUUUUGAUUUGCAUUUCUCUAACGAUCAGUGAUAUUAAGCUUUUGUAAUGUUUGUCAGCCACAUGUAUGUCUUCUUUUGACAAGUGUCUGUUCAUGUCCUUUGCCCACUUUUUAAUGGUGUUGUUUGUUUUUCUCUUAUAAAUUUAAGUUCCUUAUAGAUGCUGGAUAUUAGACCUUUGUCAGAUGCAUAGUUUGCAAAAACUUUUUCCAACGCUGUAGGUUGUCUGUUUACUCUAUUGAUAGUUUCUUUUGCGGUGCAGAAGGCCUUUAGUUUAAUUAGAUCCUAUUUUUCAAUUUUUGCUUUUGUUGCAAUUGCUUCUGGUGUCUUUGCCAUGAAAUCUUUGCCAGUUCCUUUGUCCAGGAUGGUAUUGCCUAAGUUAUCUUCCAGGGUGUUUAUAGUUUUGGGUUUUACAUUUAAGUCUUUAAUCUGUCUUGAGUUGACUUUUGUGUAUGGUGUAAAGAAGGGGUCCAGCUUCAAUUUUCUGCAUAUGGCUAGCCAGCUAUCCAGGCACCAUUUAUUGAAUAGGAAGUCUUUUCCUCAUUGCUAGUUUUUGUCAGCCUUGUUAAAGAUCAGAUGAUCGUAGAUGUACAGCCUUAUUUCUGGGCUCUCUAUUCUGUUCCACUGAUCUGAGUGCCUGUUUUUGUACCAGAACCAUGCUGUUUUGGUUACUGCAGGCUUGCAGUAUAGUUUGAAGCCAGGUAAUGUGGUGCCUCCAGCUUUGUUCUUUUUGCUUAAAAUUGCCUUGGCUAUUUGGGCUCUUUUUUGGUUUCAUGUGAAUUUUAAAAUAUUUUUAUAGUUCUGUGAAGGAUGUCCUUGCUAGUUUGAUAGGAGUAGCAUUGAAUCUAUUAAUUGCUUUGGGCAGUAUAGCCAUUUUAAUGAUAUAGAUACUUCCUAUUCAUGAGCAUGAGAUGUCUUUCCAUUUGUUUGUGUCAUGUCCGAUUUCUUUGAGCAGUGUUUUAUAAUUCUCAUUGUAGAGAUCUUUCAUCUCCCUGAUUAGCUGUAUUCCUAGGUAUUUUAUCAUCUUGAUACCAAAACCUGGCAGAGACACAAGAAAAAAAGAAAACUUCAGGCCAAUAUUCUUGAUGAAUAUUGAUGCAAAAAUCCUCAAAAAAACAAACAAACAAAAAAAACAACUUGCCAACUGAAUCCAGCAGCACACCAAAAAGCUAAUCCACCAUGAUCAAGUAGGCUUCAUCCCUGGGUUGCAAGAUUGGUUCAACAUACGCAAAUCAAUAAAUGUGAUUCAUCACAUAAACAGAACUAAAGACAAAAACCACAGGAUUAUUUAAAUAGUUGCCAAAAAUUUUUUGAAAAAAGUCAAUACCCCUUCGUGUUAAGAACUCUCGGUAACUAGUUACUAAAGGAACAUACCUCAAAAGAGUAAAAGCCAUCUAUGAAAAACCCACAGCCAACAUUCUACUGAAUGGGCAAAAGCUGGAAACAUUCCCAAUGAAAACUGGCACAAGACAAGGUUGUCCUCUCUCCACCACUUCUAUUCAACAUAAUACUGGAAGUCCUAGCCAGAGCAAUCAGGCAAGAGAAAGAAAUAAAGGGCAUCCAAAUAGGAAGAGAUGAAGUUAAACUAUCUGUGUUUGCAGAUGACAUGAUUCCAUAUCUAGAAAACCCCAUAGUCUUGGCUGAAAAGCUCCUCCAGCUGAUAAACAAUUCAGCAAAGUUGCAAGAUACAAAAUCAAUGUACAGAAAUAACUUAUAUUCCUAUACACCGACAACAGUCAAAUAAGAUCAGAAAGGCAAUCCCUUUCACAAUUUUUACUCUCUAUUCUAUUUAAUACUUCUUCACAGAAAAAUAAAAAGAGGAGAGGAGAGGAAAGGAGAGAAGGGAGAGGGGAGGG
rnacentral:lncRNA from 1 species